ACGGAGGCCUCAAGCGUUGUUCGGAAUUACUGGGCGUAAAGGGUGCGUAGGCGGCGAGGUAAGUCAGAUGUGAAAGCCCGGGGCUCAACCCCGGAAUUGCAUCCGAUACUGCCUUGCUUGAGGAUUGGUGAGGAGACUGGAAUUCACGGUGUAGCAGUGAAAAGCGUAGAUAUAGUGAGGAAGCCCAAUGGCGAAGGCAGGUAUCUGGACAAUUCCUGACGCUCAUGCACGAAGGCGAGGGGAGCAAAAAA
rnacentral:rRNA from 1 species